GAUGGCCUUCAUCAUUUACUCCACUGUUUCGCCGCCUAGACCUUCCUUCAACGCUUCACGACGUAACCCUAAUCCUUCAGAUAACCACCCUGAUUUUCUCCGACAGCUUCUUUAUCUCCCUUGCGUACUCCUCAAUGUCCUCAUUCACCUUCCUGUCCCAUACAAAAAAAAAAUAGGAAUACAUACACAAAAAGUAAUAGAUCAUUCUAUGAAGUACAAGAGUCAAACAUUUUGCGAGUUGUAGUAUGAACUUGAGUGGAGCGUAAAUCUCUCUCCAUGAUCAUGGGCCGAAGAGAAAGGAAAGGAGCUACAGAAUUUACCGCUCUGCCUUUGUUGGCCUUUUCUCAUUAGACAGAGGAACACUAGGUAAAAUUUUGUACUGGAAGCCUUCCAUCUGAUGAAAUCUGUCUCCAUCUUAUUCAGUGUUUCCUAAUUUGUUUAUAUUAUUAUCACAGUGCUGCAAUUGUAAUUAAACAUUUCAAGCAGUGUAAUAUUUCUCAAUCAGAUGAUGUGGAAUUGCUGUU